GCCCUAGCUCCCUCCGCCCGCGGGUCGCCCGCUCCCUCGCGCCCCUGUUGCUCCCUCCUCGAUCCCGAUCUGGAUCGAGGGGACGAGGAGCUCCUGCCUCCCCGACGGCCGACCUCCUCCUCGCCCCGCCGCUGCGUCCGGCGCCGCCACGGUCUCUGGAGCCAGGGAAGCCAUGGCCUGAGCUCGGCCUCGAGGUCCCCGCCGCCGUCUCCUGCAGCUUCUGCCCCGCCGCCUCACCGCCCGAGCUCGCCGUCGCACCAACCUCGGCGCCGCGCCGCCGCCGGCUCUGGUCGCCUCCACCUCCGCGCCGUGAGGAACCCGCCACACGCGUCAAGGCGAGGCGCCUCCUGGGCUCCGUCCGUUUCCAGAGCGAGCGCCCGCGAAUACCUAGCUAGCCGCCGCCGUCGUGACCGUUCCAGCCACCGCCAAGGCCACACUUCCUCUUCCACCUCCGCGUACUCCUGGUUGCAGCCCCAGCUCUUCACGGGCAGGGAGAGAAGGGGGGCAUGAUCGGCGGGGCAGAGUUCUUUCGGAAGGACAGCGUGGUGGGCAACAUGGACGGAUACCUCAGCUACCUGUCCCUCGAGUAUGACUUCGUCUCGGACACCAAUCCUGCUUGGGUAUCUUCAUUUUGGAAGCAGGAAUCCUUUCCUCAUAAGAUGGAUGAGCUGUAGGAUUUGAUUCUGUUCAGCUUGAAUUAGUUUUUCAUCAUCAUGUUCUUUGUAUUAGGAAUUCAUGCCUUCCAGCUCUAAUUUUUUCGCAUUGUUAGUGUAUGCUGGGAGUCACAUUAUUAUGCUGCUAGCAAACAGUAGGAUUGGAAGUCUUACUCUGUAGGUUAGUAAUAUCUUUUCCACUAUACCGAGGUUCAGCAAUUUAAUUCGUAUUAAGGUCACACAAGCAGUUUGGUUUUCAGAUUUGUCUUGACAAACAUAUUUGGUUCAGCAAUUUAAUUCAUAUUAAAGUCACACAAGCAGUUUGGUUUUUAGAUUUGUCUUGACAAACAUAUUUUGCAGAUUAUCCUCACAUAUGAAAUUGAUUUCUGCAAGUUCCUUUCACUUCUUAUUUAUUUCUUCACUUGGUUAUGAUGUACUGCUAUUCGUUUUCAUGAUGAUUCAUGCGUUUUGUAGUUUUCACUGACAGAAUCUUGUCUUGAAACAAGAUUGGUUCCCAUUGUUACAGUGAAGUAGCUACCAAGCAGCGAGGCCAUCGAGUGACACGAGACCGCGGGACGGCGUGAGAAGAAGCAGGGGGUGUCUGGCGGGAUGGAGAAGACCACAGGGAAGUGUGGCGAUGGAGUGCAAUCCCGAAGAAGAAGAACAUUGCAAAGAAAGACCCUGGCCAAGUGCCACCCAAUUCUCUUUCACCGACCCAUCUAAUGGCCAUCAAUUCAAUUGGUCCAAGCUGUUGUGUUGACCUUCCCAUUGAUCCACUACAUCCUCGCUCAGCUGGUUCUGCUAUGUUUCUUCUCCAUGGCAUUGCUGGUUGCCGGCGUGCCUGACAUCGCGCCUUAUGUGACGUGACAUGAUGCUCCUCUACGUGUUCUUCUCACCCCGGUUUCCAUGAGGAGAGAUGUUGUUCUGUGGUUCUGUAGUUCUACUCCAUAGCAAUGAUGGAGUCACCUCCAUAUGGAUAGCAAUUAUCUCGGGAUCAUGAGAGCUGUCUACGCAACGGCCAGGGGGCAUAUGCUUCUCCUAGCACUAAGACCUCCAUCCUAUUUGAGCCAGAAUGGCUUUGGUGCCCUCUCUCGCUCAUGGUGAGGCCGUGCAUGCUUGCCAUGUUGUGGCUACGAAAUCUCAGACUGAGUCGCUUCGGUCGGGCACUAUUCAGGACAGGACAGACCCAGUGCAUAGAAGCUCCCAAAUUGUUAUGGCAGCAUGAGUGAAAAUAUGUUCCUUUUAAAUGCUUAGAUUCUAUAGACCUCUGAUGUAUAUCCUAAAUUACUGUAUUGUGUGCUUUUGUAAAAUAAACUGUAUUGAUUCAAUUUAUAUAUUUAGUACAAUGGUUUUGCUCACAUCACAAAUAUCUAACAACAAGAGUGAUUACUGAAAGCAUAAAAUAUAUUUCAAUUUCUAGGCCGCUACAUUAUUUUGAAACAUGAGCUUUUUUAAAACUGAGUGUUUGACGUAGCUUGUUGUUAUUGUCAAAAUGAAAUAGCGAGUAUAUAUUUGUUGCUUUUUGUUUAGGAAAGUGAAAAAAACAAGAUGCCGUUUGUAUGCCAGGAAUGGCAUAUGUGAACGACUCAAGUGGUAGUUUUUAGGGUAGGGGCAAGGGGCAUUUUUUAUAAACUGCCAUGGCAGUUCUUUAAUUUAGUGCAAUUUUUUGAGAAACAGCCAUCCACAGGAUCUUGAUUGUGCGGUUCUGUGUGUGUUCACUGGGACCUCAUCACCAGCGAACGUUCGCCGGGUAUUGUUCAACAUGGCUCUAAUGAUUCAAUCAAAUUUCAUUGCAAAGUAUACUGGACCAGGCUUUCCUUCUUUCUAAUGCGGUGUUAGUUGGCAUUAAGUUGUGAAAUCCAAAUCCAUACAUUUACAGUUCUUGUUGUUCUAAUUACACAAGUAUUUUCACUUUUUUUUGUUAACUAAUCUUCACACCGAACACCAUCUCAGUAACCAGACCUGAUAUAGUACUUAGUUUUGGCAUUAUACACAACAACUUUGACAUUGAUAAUUUCCUCAUAUAUUUAGUAGGACAAUAAACUUGUCUAGCAUUUCAUUAUGAGUUGCAGGCUCUGAAAAUAAAUGUAUGUGCCCCCUAAAUGAUUAAACGUGUGGUUUUGGAAUUAUGCAUGCUGACAUGCAUUGGCAAUCAUUAUUCAACAGUAUUCCUUUUCACUGAAAUAUAACCAUGUAAUGCUUACGAUUUAAUCUGGUUAUCUAGACAACUAAAUGGGUUAAUGUUAUGCUUAGUAUCUUUUGGCAUAUGUAAUGCAUGGAAGGAAACCAGUGUCUUUUGAUAGGGAUUUCUGGAGGUAACACGCCUCUGACUGUAUGCACUGAAUUUCAGAUGCUCUGUUUAGAAGAUGUCUUCUUCAGUAGUACUACAUAUUUUUAUGAUUUCCUGUAACUUGCUGAUAUGGCACUGGUUUGCCGCAUGGUGUGCUACAACUACACUCCAGGGGAAUAUUUGUUCAGAAUCUUCAGUCUUGUAAUUUUCUCCUUGAUGACAAUGACCAUGCUGUGCUGGGGGAUUUGGGAUUCCAUCCUUGCUGUUUGGACUUCCGCUGCCAAAUCCAGAUCUUAUCCAAAGACUUGGGACUCCAAAUUACAUGCCCCAGAACAUUGGCGACCAAACAUCAGAGGCCCAAUUAGUUACGAGACUGACUCGUUGGGGUUUCGCUUGGAGCAUUCUUGAGAUGUUCAGUGGCGUUCAGACUUGGUGUGCCAAAUCACCAGAUGAGAUUUAUCAGUCAGUUGUCCUGAAGAAAGAGAAACCGAUGUUCCUGUACAAUUUACCUACGGAGGUCGCUAAUGUCCUCUCUGGCUGCUAUGAGUAUGAAUUUCGGGAUCACUCCUUGAUGUUAGAUAUCUUACAGUCAUUUGAAAUGUAACAUGCUAAAACUCUGUUUCUGCUUCUGCCUUGUUAACUUACAUAAUUUGGUUAAACUGCCAUGGAUGGGUGAUUUUACCAUAUUUCAUUUUCAUAUUUGCUUAUAUUAUAUUGUACAAACUACUAAGCAUUAUUGAAGUUUGUCACAUGAAAGCAUGGAACUGCUUUCUUAGCUGUGUCGUUUAUAGUCAUAUAUGGUCAAUGCAGGUUUAUUUUCCUCCAGAGUUUACUUUUACUAUGUCCUGGUACUGGUUUUCUCUGCAGGUUUCUCUACAUUAGCUUUGUGUAUUCAAUUUUUUUGUUCCUGACAAGAAGUGCAUUGCACAUGCACACUUAUAUGAACAAGCCUUACAUGAUUUGCUCUUUUACUGAUGGACUGAGGAGGUCAGAGAUGUAUAACAGCCGUAUUGAUCCAAAUGACAAGUACGGCAGUGCUAACCUGCUUACCUAGAAUUUUACCACAUCCUAAGACUUGCAAAUCUGUAUAAUAGGAAUGGCUAGCUGUUUUCUGGUCUACAACCGUGACAUCUGGUGGCAUCUCUCACCAUGUCUGCACAUAGUGUUUAGUCAUGAUUCUUGCAUACUGUCGAGACUCGAGAAGGGCGUGACAUUUUUUCCUGAACUGAUUUCUAAUUUUUUUUUGCUUACCGGUUGAGCUCGGUUUCAACUCUUACCUGAGUAGUUGAUAGGAAAGCCUGAUGCAGGUGUAUGGAAAUUAUGCAAUUCCAUGAGGUUUGGAGUUGUCCAGUAUACUACUGAGGCCUACAUAUUUUGCUGAUGCAGGUUGGAGGUGACACAUGAACGCUGGCAACGCAAAAUAGCAGAUAUAAAAUAACUGCAGCUCAGGCCAUGUAGUUCUACAACAACCAAGGAAGAAGUCCGUUUUUUAAGCCGACCUUGGCCAAGCAUUUAAGCUUAUAUGGUUGCUCUCUAUUUUUCAGAGGUGCGUGUACUGAGGACGCCCAUGAUUUAGGGCCAAAAAUCUAGACAAAGUGACAAAACUUUGUACGAGACUUACUUGAAGCCAAGGAGGUCAGGGGAGGAGGACAACAAGGCUGGGGAGCGGAGGCGGAGACCGACGGGGAAGAGAAUGAUCAAGCAUGUAAAUCUAGAGCACAAGCUCGUGAUUUAUCAAGGGAGUGGCGCUGCCGCCGGAUUAGAAAAUCAUAUCUCACGUUAAGGUGUUUUUGUCUUUUGUUUCUGUACAAAUUUGGUGCAGGCAAGUUUUUGAUGAUAUAUAUAAGAUGACUAGCAUUAUCUUUUUAUUGAGUGCAUGUUCUGGUA